AUUGAACGCUGGCGGCAGGCCUAACACAUGCAAGUCGAACGAGUGGCGGACGGGUGAGUAAUGUCUGGGAAACUGCCCGAUGGAGGGGGAUAACUACGGGAAACGGUAGCUAAUACCGCAUACCAUCGGAUGUGCCCCGAUGGGAUUAGCUUGUAGGUGAGGUAAAGGCUCACCUAGGCGCCGAUCCCUAGCUGGUCUGGGAGGAUGACCAGCAACACGGGAACUGGGACACGGUCCCGACUCCUAAGGGAGGCAUCAGUGGGGAAUAUGGCACAAUGGGCUCAAGCCUUAUGCAGCCAGGCCGCGUGGAUGAAGAACGCCUUCGGGUUGUAAAGUACUUUCAGCGGGGAGGCGUUACCCGCAGAAGAAGCACCGGCUAACUCCGUGCCAGCAGCCGCGGUAAUUC
rnacentral:rRNA from 1 species